rnacentral:rRNA from 1 species
GACGAACCGUGCGAACGUUGUUCGGAAUCACUGGGCUUAAAGGGCGCGUAGGCGGGUUCUCAAGUCGGGGGUGAAAUCGUUCGGCUCAACCGGACAAGGGCCCCCGAUACUGAGAGUCUUGAGGGAGGUAGGGGUUGGUGGAACUUCCGGUGGAGCGGUGAAAUGCGUAGAUAUCGGAAGGAACGCCGGUGGCGAAAGCGGCCAACUGGACCUCUUCUGACGCUGAGGCGCGAAAGCUAGGGGAGCGAACGGG